GGCUUUAACUGACGCUGAGGCACGAAAGCGUGGGUAGCAAACAGGAUUAGAUACCCUGGUAGUCCACGCUGUAAACGAUGAUUACUAGGUGUGGGGGGACUGACCCCUUCCGUGCCGGAGUUAACACAAUAAGUAAUCCACCUGGGGAGUACGGCCGCAAGGUUGAAACUCAAAGGAAUUGACGGGGGCCCGCACAAGCAGUGGAGUAUGUGGUUUAAUUCGAAGCAACGCGAAGAACCUUACCAGGUCUUGACAUCCAACUAACGAAGUAGAGAUACAUCAGGUGCCCUUCGGGGAAAGUUGAGACAGGUGGUGCAUGGUUGUCGUCAGCUCGUGUCGUGAGAUGUUGGGUUAAGUCCCGCAACGAGCGCAACCCUUGCUAUUAGUUGCUACGCAAGAGCACUCUAAUAGGACUGCCGUUGACAAAACGGAGGAAGGUGGGGACGACGUCAAAUCAUCAUGCCCCUUAUGACCUGGGCUACACACGUACUACAAUGGCCAUCAACAGAGGGAAGCAAAACAGCGAUGUGGAGCAAACCCCUAAAAAUGGUCUCAGUUCAGAUUGCAGGCUGCAACCCGCCUGCAUGAAGUCGGAAUGCU
rnacentral:rRNA from 1 species